ensembl:lncRNA
AGACUUGUCUGGGCAGGAAGGGGAGGGGAGGUACAUAAUGAUAUGUAAAACAGACUUGUCUGGGCAGGAAGGGGAGGUACAUAAUGAUAUGUAAAACAGACUUGUCUGGGCAGGAAGGGGAGGGUAGGUACAUAAUGAUAUGUAAAACAGACUUGUCUGGGCAGGAAAGGGGAGGGAGGUACAUAAUGAUAUGUAAAACAGACUUGUCUGGGCAGGAAGGGGAGGGGAGGUACAUAAUGAUAUGUAAAACAGACUUGUCUGGGCAGGAAGGGGAGGGGAGGUACGUAAUGAUAUGUAAAACAGACUUGUCUGGGCAGGAAGGGGAGGUGCGUAAUGAUAUGUAAAACAGACUUGUCUGGGCAGGAAGGGGAGGGGAGGUACAUAAUGAUAUGUAAAACAGACUUGUCUGGGCAGGAAGGGGAGGG